UCGGGAAUUUUGGGCAAUGGGCGAAAGCCUGACCCAGCAACGCCGCGUGAAGGAUGAAGUAUUUCGGUAUGUAAACUUCGAAAGAAUAGGAAGAAUAAAUGACGGUACUAUUUAUAAGGUCCGGCUAACUACGUGCCAGCAGCCGCGGUAAUACGUAGGGACCAAGCGUUGUUCGGAUUUACUGGGCGUAAAGGGCGCGUAGGCGGCAUGACAAGUCACUUGUGAAAUCUCUGGGCUUAACCCAGAACGGCCAAGUGAUACUGUCGCGCUAGAGUGCAGAAGGGGCAAUCGGAAUUCUUGGUGUAGCGGUGAAAUGCGUAGAUAUCAAGAGGAACACCUGAGGUGAAGACGGGUUGCUGGGCUGACACUGACGCUGAGGCGCGAAAGCCAGGGGAGCAAACGGGAUUAGAUACCCGUGUAGUCCCUGAGCGGGCUGGCAAGGCGCAU
rnacentral:rRNA from 1 species